rfam:Chthoniobacter flavus Ellin428 ctg24, whole genome shotgun sequence.
GGAAAACGAACUGGCAGCGAGGCCGGGCGUGGGCGACGAGCGUGCGAGCAACCGCGAAGUCCGAAGUCCAUCCAGACACGUCAGGUAGAGCCAGGCGGCGCGGAGGGAGAGUUCAGGUU